CCCAAAUCUCCCGCCCAGCGCCCACGGGGGGGCGGGGCGGAGCGGAGAGGCGGUGCCGCCAGCGGGCGGGAUACGGCGCUGACCCGGCCGGGAGGAGAAAGCCUCACAGGUCUCAGUGUAGAGUCUCGGGUGCUUACCUGAAUCAUGUUAGCUGGCAGCAUCUCAUGCCUGUACCCAUCAUAAAAGGAGAGUGCCGUAGUGAAGCACGGCAUAGGGAUGCCAAUCUGGACUCCAGUGCUGAUCACACGUCGCCAGGAGUCCUGAUGGAGAAUAAAGAGAAAGAAGGAAACAGACUGCUUAGCCAGAAGAAUGCAGGACUACAGCAGAGGUUACUGGUCUCUAGUCUAAUGGCAUGUUCCUAUUGGCAAUCAUCACCCUGGAUCAAGUGAGCAGAUUUUCCAACCAGUAUACAUAAACAACUGCAGUUCAGAGUGCUGCCCAGCAAGACAGAAUUGACAAACGACACACACACAGUAUACAAAAUCAGAUCUAAAACUCAGGCAGGAACUCUGCUCUUUCACAUAUGCAGGGAGAACAAAUUCCAAAGAGAAGAAUAUAAUAAGCAGAACACUGAGCAAAUAAGGCGUCUUCAGUAAUCCUAAUGAAAAAGAACACAGUGUCUCCCUGAGGGCAUAAGAGACUAGCACGUCACUUCAGAGAGCUACUGUUUCCAGCAAUCCAAGCCAAACCCAGGAAUCCAUGCAUCAUCCUCUCCCCUCACACCGUAGAGCAAGAGAACUAGGAAACCUUUCCCUGACUCAAAACAUUUAAGGUGCUCAGCAGCCUUGGCAGGUGUGCUUCUAGAAGUCAUGAGGAGUCUCAAGAUUUCUUCCUUCUGCUGAGUAGUAUGAGGGGAAGGACACUUACUUCUGAACUGGUCAAUACCUGUUGAGAUCCUGUCCCUGCAGAUGGAGAGGGUGCUGCUGGUAGUGCCCAAAGACUUCAAACACAAUCGGCUUAGUUUUGAUGUACUCCACAAAAGAUUCUGUCACUUCCACAGCGAUCUAGCAAAAAACGAGGUCUUCCCCACCCUGUACUACCAAGGAGAGAUUCUUACUUGAACUGACAGAAGAUAUCUGCAUAUUCUGGGAGGAUGCCACUGGCCUGCAGCACUGUCACACGGAAGGUGAACACACUACCCAGUUUCAGGUGGUCGCCAACCUCCUCGGUAAACCCUUCCAUCACCAUCUUCCCAUCCAACAAAGUGCCUGACUUCAGGUCUUAAAGAGACACAAAGACCUCCCGUGAAAUAUUCAGAUUUACAACAUCUACAGAUACUCGACCCAGCAAAGGUGGGAUUUAAUCCCCCACCCUCAAACACCUGCUCUCCAGUAGUUUAUCUACAAGAGAAUUUUUCAAAGCCUUAACUCACAAUACAUGCAGCUUCACUAAUGGUAGCACUGAUAAAAGCAGUAGGGUAGUCAAGGCUCAAGUGUUGUUCCAAAAAGUGUCUAACACACUCAGAGCAGGGUUAGGUGACAGUGGUAAAAGUGCCUGGGUUCUUCUGAACCCUGUCUACACUACAGUCAUCACCAAGGCUACCACUUACCAAGCUGCACCUGAAAAAUUAAUGAUAAAAAAAUCCUGGUGUAGACAAGACACAGUGAUCUCAACAAAGUGCAGAGUUCACUAGUAGCACAACGUGGGGACAGUGCAGGUUUAACAGAGUUCUCUUCUCACCCAAGGUGGGGAUACUAGAGUUGCAAGAGAGGGGAGCACAGUAAUUACCAGUCAGAUAUUAGCAUAAAUAAAGAGGCAGGUGUGACGGAGCAGGGAGCGGGGCAGAUUUGACCUGGGAAUGUUGCCUGGGAGUUACAUUGGGGAU